UACGUAGGGUGCAAGCGUUAAUCGGAAUUACUGGGCGUAAAGCGUGCGCAGGCGGUUUUGUAAGUCUGAUGUGAAAUCCCCGGGCUCAACCUGGGAAUUGCAUUGGAGACUGCAAGGCUAGAAUCUGGCAGAGGGGGGUAGAAUUCCACGUGUAGCAGUGAAAUGCGUAGAGAUGUGGAGGAACACCGAUGGCGAAGGCAGCCCCCUGGGUCAAGAUUGACGCUCAUGCACGAAAGCGUGGGGAGCAAACAGGAUUAGAGUACCGAGUAG
rnacentral:rRNA from 1 species